CACAUGUGUUUGUCAUCAAAGCUGCCUAUAAAACACAUGCAAAGUCAAAGUGAACUGAAUGGAGAUGAACACUAUGGGGACUCUUGGACAGUAAGAUAAACAUGCACUUGUGUGUGAAAUUGAAGUUGUGUUUUAAAAAAUGGAAGUGUGACAAAAUAAACACAAGACCAAUGCAAAAAUUACAUUAUGAAUUUUUAUUUAAGAACAGAAGUUGUUGUAGUGUUUUAGCACUUAACCGGUUUCUUUUUUUGCACAGAACUUCUCCAGCUUUGGAAAAAACUCUUUCACAUGGCACAGAUGUAGCUGGUAUUGAGAGGUAUUUUUUGGCAAGCUGAAAGAGAUGAGGGAAGAAAGUUUGAUGUUUUGACCAAAACUCCAGUGGAUCACUUGUUCUGUUCAUGUAUGGUGUAUUUAAAUAUCGCUGUACUUCAACUGUUGCAUCAGCAGUGACACUAUGGACCUUUUGUGUUUCCUGUAUCUUAUUGUCCAAGAGUUCCCAUAGGUUCUCUCUGUCUUCCUGUCCUUCUGCUGAAGUGGCUGCAGCUGAAGUUGAUGGCUGAGGUGACCCAGGUGGUGGAGCCGAUGAUGUUUCGCGCAUCACUGCACUGCAUUCAGCAAUGCAGUCCUUGACCGCAGCGUCAGCAUUGGCUGCACAGCCAAACACAACAGUCUUGAAUCUGGGAUCCAAAAGUGUAGCCUUAGCCAAGGUCCUCAAGGAUUCCACUGUUCCAAAACGUUUCUUAAGAGAGCUCAACUGUGGCAUGGUUAAAGGCUGAAAGGGCUUGAAGACACUGUGCGAUUGCUUCAAACUGUCCACUGUUCAAGGGUGUCACAUUGGUGUUUAAGGAUGUUAGAGCAGCACCAACUGCUUCACGUUCUUCAUAUAUUCUUUGGAGCAUGAAAAAUGUGCUGUUCCACCUUGUUUCCACCUCUUGAAUCAGUUUCUUCUUCGGUCUGCCCAUCUGCUGCUGAAUUGCUGACAGUUUCUCAGUGGCAUUUGUGCUGCAUCUAAAGAAGGACUCCAGCAAAAUGGACUUUGCUUCUUUGAUGUGCUCUGCUGUGUGGGUUUCAGGAAACUUCAAAACUCCCAGCACAACACUACACAACUUCUCUUCAUUGAUAUAAUGGCAUGUUACUGCAAGCAACCAUGUUCUUCAGCCCAUGCCUUGAUGGAAGCACAUAUGUUGGAUCCAGUUUCUGCACAAAAGCCCUGAAGCCCUCAUCCUCCACCAUGGAAAAUGGCUGGGAAUCCUUCACAAUCAUGUCCACCAGUGCCUCAUCAAUGUCCCUUUGCC